rnacentral:rRNA from 1 species
GACGGAGGUUGCAAGCGUUGUCCGGAAUUACUGGGCGUAAAGCAGGUGCAGGCGGCUCGUUAUGGCGGGUGUGAAAUCCCAGGACUCAAUUCUGGAACUGCGCCCGAAACUGGCGAGCUUGAGUGCGGGAGGGGGUGGUGGAAUUCCCGGUGUAGAGGUGAAAUUCGUAGAUAUCGGGAGGAAUACCGGUGGCGAAGGCGACCACCUGGCCCGUAACUGACGCUCAGACCUGAAAGCGUGGGGAGCAAACGGA